CCCAGAGGUAUUGAUUGGUGAAUCAUCAACAUACAGUGUGUGUUGAUACCGAUUGAAAUUGCACCAACCUACGCAGAUGCGUAGGUUUUUUUU
rnacentral:sRNA from 1 species